GGAGGUUCUCAGGUGACACACCCCUGAAUUGGGCUCCCUCCUCUCUGGUUCCAGGUUUGUCACACAAGAACUGCA
rfam:Myotis davidii contig7941, whole genome shotgun sequence.